AUGCUGAAUUGCAGAGACUUUUGCCUCUGGCUUAAGAAGUUCCCCAAACCCCUGGUAGCUUCGCUCCUUGUGAGCAUGUUCCCAAAACAUUCUCAGGGCUUUUCCCAGCUCCCUGGCCAGUUAGGAGGACAACAGAUGAUCAAACCACACAGGCUGCUCGGUGCACCAGGGCUUUGCUGCUGCUUUCACUGUAUCAGCUCGGAAAAUCUGAGUAGAGUUAAUUUACACAGCCCUGGGACUCACACCAUCUUCUCCAGUUCCUGCUUUUGGGAUCUGAUGUGCCAGACCCAACUGUCCCUCUUCCAGGGAUUUUGCUAUGGCCACGUUGGGUUGAGUGGCAGAGAUAGGAAAUGACCACAGAGUGCAGCAGAAAAUUUUCCCUAUGAUUUCUUUCAUCUCUUUUCAUUCCCACUGCUGUGGUGCCCACCCAAUGCGUUUUCCACCCCACGGGAUGUUGUGCCCAGCACUAUGGCAAUGCAAAGCUCAGCUCUCCUCUCUCUCCAUCCCUGCACCCCUCCAUCCAUCACAUCUCCAUUUGGCUCUGCUGAGGCCACCUUUCACCUUGCAGAUGAAGGUAUAGUUAAUCAAGGAGGAGAGAAAAAUGCGGAGGGAAGUGUGUUCAUUCAUCCACUCCCUGAUGUUUCUUACAGUGCUUUUGUUUGCAUCUGCUUUUUGUCUUGCACACACGCAGUGAUUUCAGGACCAAGCAGAACUGAAGAUUCCAGCAGUAGAAAGACAACAAGCCCCCUCACCUCUUCCCGCAUCCUCAAAACUUGGGAGGUUGCUUAGUGACAACGUUGCUGCUCUCCCUUCCUCACUCGAGCUCUUAAAAGCAAGAAAAUGGUUAUUUGAGGUCCUGAUAGCUCGUGUUCCUCGAUGGCCCCUUCCCUGCAGCCCACAUCAGCGGCAGGCAAUGAAUGAAGCAUCCUGGCCACUCCUCUCCUUUCUGCUGGCCAGCUCCAUUUAUUUUUUUACUAUUGUUCCGCUGUUGUUAGGAUUGCUAUUCUGUGAUCCCAUUUAAAAUCAUUGAUUUACCACCGAGUCCUCAAUAAGCAAUUUGGAGCAAUUGGAGCUGUUAUCUUACAAUAGAUCACACGGUGGUGGAAAAGGGGGGAGGGAGAGAAGGAGAGGGAAAAAGAAGAAGGAAAAAUGGAUGGGGCUGCCCACAUGGUUUGGGACCUCUAGCCACAGGUACCAGCUGGGCUGGAGCCAUGGGGACUUGUCCCAGACAGGCUUUGAAUCACAGAGCCAUUAAGAUUGGGAUAGACUAAGAUCAUUUAGUCCAACUAUCAAACCAUCCCUGCCAUGCCCACUAAAGAGGAAUUAAGUCCCCAUCGUUUCUCUUAAAAACCCC
rnacentral:lncRNA from 1 species